UUAAGCAUAUAAGUAAGCGGAGGACAAGAAACUAAAUAGGAUUCCCCCAGUAAUGGCGAAUGAACAGGGAAGAGCUCAGCAUGGAAAUCGGGGCCUCCCGGCCUUGAAUUGUAGUCUUGAGAUGUACUGCCAACGGAGGCGCAGAUGUAAGCCUCUUGGAAAAGAGCAUCAACGAGGGUGAGAGUCCCGUUUGUCAUCUGCAGUCCCCCGUGCACGGUGUACAUUCUAAGAGUCACGUUCCUCGGGAUUGGAGCGCAAAGUGGGUGGUAAAUUUCAUCUAAAGCUAAAUAUUGGUUCGAGACCGAUAGCAAACAAGUACCAUGAGGGAAAGGUGAAAAGGACUUUGAAAAGAGAGUUAAAAGUGCCUGAAAUUGCUGAAAGGGAAGCGAAUGGAACCAGUGUUCUUGAUGAGAUUGUCGCGUACUCUGGUGAUUGCUGGGUGCUCCACCGCAAGGGGGGCAUUUGGUUUUGAGCUAGAUGUGCGUGGUGUUUCUUGUCUUGUGUGUCACCGUCGGUGCACGAGCGAGUAAACCUCCAGGGAGAUGGUAACUCGUCUGCGGAUGAGUGAAUGUCUUUGGUAGUACUCAUUUGUGUAUCGAUCCCUGCGUGUCUGGUUGCAGUGUUUGAGUCGUCUGGAAGCUUCUGAAAGGCUUGCCCUCGAUGAACUUUCUGGGCUCCUUGAGCAUCUCCCUGACACAAAGACGAUGACUAAAUGGUUCUAUUCGACCCGUCUUGAAAC
rnacentral:rRNA from 1 species